UCUUGAACUCCUGACCUUCUUCUGCUUGUCUAGGUCUCCCAAAGUGCUGGGAUUACAGGUGUAAGCAUAUGUGCCUGGCCCCUGUCUUCAUUUUUACUAGGAGCAAUGUAAUUCUAAUUCUUUGUACCUUGAUUCCAUUUACAGUUUUUUUCUUGAAUACUGUUUCAUUUCAAAUUAUAAAUUUUAGGGGUGGGGACAGUGGAGGGAAGAGGUGACAGAUGGUGUCCGUUGCCAGGAAAACUAUAGUACCUCUUAGAGUUUCUUUCAUUGUUGAAUUUAGGAAUAAGUGGGGAUGGUUUAAGGUUUGGGGUUUGUGGGGACUUGAGAGAUCUUCCAUUGAAACAUGCUAUGAACAAACUAAAUCAUGGGUAAUACCUUGUGGGUUGUCUCUGGGUUGUGCAGUCUGAUAGGCACUUUGCUGACAUUUAUUUUAUUUCUAUAAUAGUUCAAUAAAAUUCAAAAUGUUACCAAUAUUAAAGUCAAGGAAACAAUCUCAGUAGAAUAGUAAUGGGACCCAUGUUAUAGACUGAAUGUGAAUCUCCCCAAAGUUUAUGUGUUGAAAUCCUAACCCUUAAUGUGAUGGUGUUAAGAGGUGGGACUGUUGGCACCUCUGGAAAGUAUUUGGAUCAUAGAGGUGGAGCUUUCUUGAAUGGGAUUAGUGAUCUUAUAAAAGAGACCGCAGAGAGUUUACUUACUUUCUUUUCUGCCACAUGAGGAUACAAUGAGAAGAUGGCCGUUGGCUGGGCACGGUGGCUCAUGCCUGUAAUCCCAGUACUCUGGAAGGCCGAGGCAGGCGGAUUACCUGAGUUCGGAAGUUCAAGAGAAGAUGGCAGUCUACAUCCCAGAAGAGGAUCCUCAGUAGAACCUGACCAUACUAGAACCCUGAUCUUGGACUUCAGCCUCCAGUGCUCUGAGAAAUAAAUUUAUUGUUUAUUAGAUUAGGUUACUCGUAAGUGACCUUAUUAUGAUAUUUCAUUAUAGCAACCUGAAUGGACUAAAACACCCCAAGUUUGUUGUGGAAGUGUGGUGUACAGAGUAAAUUUUUUGAGCAACCGUUCUAGUAUUGCCUUCCCUAAGUGCUCUCUGCUUUGCUUGGAAUAAGAGGUAGGGGGGUUUGGAGAACCCUCCCCUGGGUGUUAUUCUAGUGCUUUGCUGCUUUCCCUCCGAAAGGACGGUGUAGCCCAGCUCUUGGCGCAUGGUUGCCAGUGAUGUAGAAAUUCUAUUUCUAAGGAUUAAAGAGGGAGGGCCGACAACAAUUAGGUAACUUGCAGCCUCUGCCACAUUCAUGUUUCAAGAUUCUUCUUUGUUUUUUUUUCAUUUUAGUCACUUAAUGAUUAUUCCUUCUCUUAUUCUUCCUUGAUCUGCAGGGAUUGUGAAACAAUCCAGAAACUUAGUAAUAUUAUGAAUAACAUUUAUCAAGUGGCCACAAUGUGCUUGCUAAUGUUCAAAUAAGAUGAGGAAUGUCAGCUUUGCUCUCCAAACCUUGUUAGACUCAAACCCUCAUGAGACUUGAUACCAUGACUGCUUAUGUCCUUUUAUUCCCCAAAUCAAUUCCCCUUUCCUUUCUUACUGGGUUUUAAAUGCAGAUGACACAUUCAGGGAAGAUGAGAGGGCCUGUCUGAGUUGGAGAAGUAGGAGUUGGUAUUUUACAGAGGCUGUGACACUCAUACUUCAUGAUUUAGAUGGGCCCAUAAUUUCACUAUCACCAUUGACAUAUUUUUCCCAAGUUAGAAAAUGAACCGUUAGUGCUAUUUGACAGUGUUUCUUUGGGAUACUUUUCAUUAUUCAGUCUGUUUAUGAGUAAUUAAAGGUCCACCAUCAUCAUCUACAUUUAGCUGUUUGUGAUUUGUGCGGAGUUCACAUUGAGUUAUUGAUUUUACCCCCUGCAGUGUAAACAUGAAAGACUAUGAAAUAGUGAUCUUGCUGGUAAAAUGUAGUUUGCAUAUUUUUUAAUAAUGAAGACAUUUGGCUGUAUUAGUCUUCCUGCCCAUAGGAAUAGAAAUGUGGAAACCUGCAGGAGAUAUAAAAGACAUUUUUUUAAAAAAGGGAAAUAAAAAGAAAAACUCUUCAUGUACAACUGUAGGGCCACAAUAAAUUCAAAAGAAUGUAUUUUCUUGAUGACUUAGUAGCCCAUUUAAUUCAUAAUCCAUGUUAGUUUAAAGUCAAUGUAAACUGGUUUAUGUGUUUUUCUUUAGCAAUAUAAUAAAUUGAUUUUAGGAUGGGGCGCAAACGAAUUAUGAGUGCUAGUGUUUUAUUCUAGUGACUGAGGGUCUUCUAAAUUAAUGAGUUAAACAGUACAGGAUAUAGCAUCAGAAGAGAGUUCCUGCUGUUUACCUACAAUGGUUGCAUCCUCACUAAAAAAAUAUGCACUGCCCUCUGCUACAAAGACACCCGCCAGAACCUUGUUCUUUUGUCUUUGAGGACUGUUUCCCUUUGUGCUCUGCCAGCCUAUCACAAUAAAAUGAUUUCAAUGAUGUGGUCUCAUUGCAGGAAAUGUUUAAUGACUCUCAGGAAAACUAUAAAUAAAUCUUAUGUCAUUAUUACACCAAAGAACAUCUUCAGACCUUAGAUAAUUAGGAUGUCCCGCCUAGGUUUAUUAUGAGAAGCUUUCAUUCAAAGAGGUGCAUGCUUGAUACUUGAUUUUAAUUUAUUUUAUUCUAGGCUUUAAAUUGUCCUGUCUCAAUGCAGAAAAAAAAAGUGUCAAGUCUAUUGGCUAGUAGGGAGGUUGUCAUUUUUAACAAAGUCCUCAUAAGAUGGAAGGGGACCUUCAGAGGUUGGUCAUCUUGUCCAUCUCUAGCCUGCAAAUAUUAAUAGUACUCAAAUCGCCUUGAACAGGUAAGUGAGAACAGAGCUUGUUAUUAAAGGUUCUUAAAGACCUUUAUUUAUAUUAAUUUAAUAUAUUUAUAUUAAUUUAUUGAAUAUAAUAUUAAAGCACACUUCAAAAUUUUCCCCCAAGUAACAUUUUAGUUAAAUUGAAAGAAACUGUUUCUAUCCACUGAUCUAAUUCUUUAUUUCUCAUGAAAGCUCUAUUUUUAUUUGUAGCUUAGAUAAUUGAAGAAUGUUCUUAGUAGCUUGAAGUUUGUCUUCCUUGUAUGCAUUUGGAUUUGAUAGGAAGAAUGAUCAUAUUGACAUAUAACAUGGAAUAUACUUUUUAAGGUCAAGGUAUCUGGUCAUUUAUUUCCCAAUAGAGUAUUACUAGGUCCACAUUCUUUUGAUUCUGAUGAUUUUUUCUUUUUUAGAAAAGUACAU